rnacentral:rRNA from 1 species
UACGUAGGUGGCGAGCGUUGUCCGGAUUUACUGGGUGUAAAGGGCGUGUAGGCGGGGAUGUAAGUCAGAUGUGAAAUUCCAUGGCUCAACUGUGGGGCUGCAUCUGAAACUAUGUCUCUUGAGUGCUGGAGAGGAAAGCGGAAUUCCUAGUGUAGCGGUGAAAUGCGUAGAUAUUAGGAGGAACACCAGUGGCGAAGGCGGCUUUCUGGACAGUAACUGACGCUGGAGGCGCGGAAAGCCCAGGGGGAGCGAAACGGGG